rnacentral:lncRNA from 1 species
AGGUUCCGGGCCACCACCGCAGCGGUCAUGUCAUUUUUCAUCACCGAAUCCCCAACGGUAAGAGGACCAGUAGGGGAUAUGAGGGACGGGCGCCAUAUGUUGUCUGGAGAAGGAGGGGCUGCUCCUUCACUAAGGUUCAAGUCAAAACGACGGUCGGAAGGGCCAGACAUUUUUCAGAGGUGUUAAAGAAAGAGGAGAUCGGACAAGUCAAGAUCGUAGAAGUGCAAAACGGGAGUUUUUACAGGCAGAAAUUCAAGAGUGCUUUGAACGUCCUGCAUACCUCUAUAAAAAUCAGCACGCGAUGGGAUUUCAGAGAUCGAAGAGGUGAGCUCAGAAAUCGAAGAAGCCAUUCGGAGAUCGAAUAGGCGCCAGCUUUCUCAAAAGUUGGGCUUGCUCACCAACCACCAAUUCCAGAUACCGAAGAGUGUCAACUGUCUCAGCCUCGUCAGCACCCAUCACACGCAACUCAGCUUUGCGAAAAUCACAGGCAGUCUGUCGAAGCACCGAUUCCAACCAUCUGUCUCUCUCAGCCUCGUCAGCACUUGUCACAUGCAAUCUCUGCCCUCAACGAAGCUCAGAACUCGAAGCGUAAAUUCCGGAUAUUAAAGAGACAUCUGCUUUAUCGAGACGUGUCAGCAUCUGUCAAUUUGCACAUCUGCGUUGCAUAAAUCACGCGCAAUCUGUCGAAAUUUUUUGGAGAAGCGGAAUGAACAUGGAAACUACUGUUAAAUUAUC